rnacentral:lncRNA from 1 species
GUUAUAUUUAUAAAUUUACUAUUUACAAAAUUGUGGAAUUUAUGAAAUACUAAGGCUUUUCUACCUCAGGCAUAGAUUACCUUAGCUGUAUUUGGCAAAACUUUUAGGAAUUUUGGUUCUCAAUGCUCUUCAACUUCGUACUUUAUUUGGCAUUUUUAACUUUUUGGGAUUCGAGCGUCACUGAUGAGUCUUUUGUAGACGAAACGCGCGUCUGGCGUAUAUACUAAAUUUAGUCCUGGUAUCUAUGAUGAGUUUAUUUUCGU